AGAUGAAGACACGACGGCAAGGAA
rnacentral:siRNA from 1 species